UGCAGUCGAACGGCAGCGCGGGAGCAAUCCUGGCGGCGAGUGGCGAACGGGUGAGUAAUACAUCGGAACGUGCCCAAUCGUGGGGGAUAACGCAGCGAAAGCUGUGCUAAUACCGCAUACGAUCUACGGAUGAAAGCAGGGGAUCGCAAGACCUUGCGCGAAUGGAGCGGCCGAUGGCAGAUUAGGUAGUUGGUGAGGUAAAGGCUCACCAAGCCUUCGAUCUGUAGCUGGUCUGAGAGGACGACCAGCCACACUGGGACUGAGACACGGCCCAGACUCCUACGGGAGGCAGCAGUGGGGAAUUUUGGACAAUGGGCGAAAGCCUGAUCCAGCCAUGCCGCGUGCAGGAUGAAGGCCUUCGGGUUGUAAACUGCUUUUGUACGGAACGAAACGGUCUUUUCUAAUAAAGAAGGCUAAUGACGGUACCGUAAGAAUAAGCACCGGCUAACUACGUGCCAGCAGCCGCGGUAAUACGUAGGGUGCAAGCGUUAAUCGGAAUUACUGGGCGUAAAGCGUGCGCAGGCGGUUAUGUAAGACAGUUGUGAAAUCCCCGGGCUCAACCUGGGAACUGCAUCUGUGACUGCAUAGCUAGAGUACGGUAGAGGGGGAUGGAAUUCCGCGUGUAGCAGUGAAAUGCGUAGAUAUGCGGAGGAACACCGAUGGCGAA
rnacentral:rRNA from 1 species